GCUUAACGCGAAGAACCUUACCAAGGCUUGACAUCACCCGAAAACCUGCAGAGAUGCGGGGUCCUUUUUGGGCGGGUGACAGGUGGUGCAUGGCUGUCGUCAGCUCGUGUCGUGAGAUGUUGGGUUAAGUCCCGCAACGAGCGCAACCCUCGUUCCAUGUUGCCAGCACGUGAUGGUGGGACUCAUGGGAGACCGCCGGGGUCAACUCGGAGGAAGGUGGGGAUGACGUCAAGUCAUCAUGCCCCUUAUGUCUUGGGCUUCACGCAUGCUACAACGGCCGGUACAAAGGGCUGCAAUACCGCAAGGUGGAGCGAAUCCCAAAAAGCCGGUCUCAGUUCGGAUUGAGGUCUGCAACUCGACCUCAUGAAGUCGGAGUCGCUAGUAAUCGUGGAUCAGCAACGCCACGGUGAAUACGUUCCCGGGUC
rnacentral:rRNA from 1 species